rnacentral:rRNA from 1 species
AUUGAACGCUGGCGGCAUGCCUUACACAUGCAAGUCGAACGGUAACAGGUUAAGCUGACGAGUGGCGAACGGGUGAGUAAUAUAUCGGAACGUGCCCAGUAGUGGGGGAUAGCCCGGCGAAAGCCGGAUUAAUACCGCAUACGACCUACGGGUGAAAGCGGGGGAUCGCAAGACCUCGCGCUAUUGGAGCGGCCGAUAUCAGAUUAGCUAGUUGGUGGGGUAAAAGCUCACCAAGGCGACGAUCUGUAGCUGGUCUGAGAGGACGACCAGCCACACUGGGACUGAGACACGGCCCAGACUCCUACGGGAGGCAGCAGUGGGGAAUUUUGGACAAUGGACGCAAGUCUGAUCCAGCCAUGCCGCGUGCGGGAAGAAGGCCUUCGGGUUGUAAACCGCUUUUGUCAGGGAAGAAAAGU